GCAAAUGUGGUGUAGUGGUUUGAGUGCCAGACUAUGACUCUAGAGAGCAGGGUUUGAAUCCCUGCUCAACCA